rnacentral:rRNA from 1 species
UGGGGAAUUUUGGACAAUGGGCGAAAGCCUGAUCCAGCAAUGCCGCGUGAGUGAAGAAGGCCUUCGGGUUGUAAAGCUCUUUUGUCAGGGAAGAAACGGUGAAAGCUAAUAUCUUUUGCUAAUGACGGUACCUGAAGAAUAAGCACCGGCUAACUACGUGCCAGCAGCCGCGGUAAUACGUAGGGUGCAAGCGUUAAUCGGAAUUACUGGGCGUAAAGCGUGCGCAGGCGGUUUUGUAAGUCUGAUGUGAAAUCCCCGGGCUCAACCUGGGAAUUGCAUUGGAGACUGCAAGGCUAGAAUCUGGCAGAGGGGGGUAGAAUUCCACGUGUAGCAGUGAAAUGCGUAGAUAUGUGGAGGAACACCGAUGGCGAAGGCAGCCCCCUGGGUCAAGAUUGACGCUCAUGCACGAAAGCGUGGGGAGCGAAAACAGGAUUAGAUACCCUGGUAGUCCACGCCCUAAACGAUGUCUACUAGUUGUCGGGUCUUAA